rnacentral:rRNA from 1 species
UCCGACCUGAACUCAGACGUGAUA